GCCAUUUACUUUUCUCCAUUUAUCUUAGUCUUGUUAAGUUUACUUUUACUUAAGCAUUUUUAGUAAAUAUCUUUCGUACAUGAAAGACUUAGUAAACUAAAUAAAAGAUACAAAGAUUGUUCUAAAGAGUUACAAAGUUAUUUAAAUUUGCACAUGUCCUAGGAUUUGUAUGGUUGAUCCUGCAAGUAACACAAUUCGACAAGUUUUUGGAAAACCAGAGGUUGUUCGCCAAAAUCAACAACGAACAAAACCAUUGGGUUGUGAUUGGAUUUCUAAAAACAACAAACACUACAUAAAGUUCCAAAUAUUGUUGAUCGCACACUAAGUGUUUGACAAAUUACUUGACUUAAUUUUGUGUGUGUUUUAUUCAUUGGAGAUAGAUUUUUCCUAUUAUAUUAU
rnacentral:lncRNA from 1 species